rnacentral:rRNA from 1 species
UGGGAAUUUUGGACAAUGGGCGAAAGCCUGAUCCAGCCAUGCCGCGUGCAGGAUGAAGGCCUUCGGGUUGUAAACNGCUUUUGUACGGAACGAAAAGACUCGGUUAAUACCUGGGGUCCAUGACGGUACCGUAAGAAUAAGCACCGGCUAACUACGUGCCAGCAGCCGCGGUAAUACGUAGGGUGCAAGCGUUAAUCGGAAUUACUGGGCGUAAAGCGUGCGCAGGCGGUUAUAUAAGACAGAUGUGAAAUCCCCGGGCUCAACCUGGGAACUGCAUUUUGUGACUGUAUAGCUAGAGUACGGCAGAGGGGGAUGGAAUUUCCGCGUGUAGCAGUGAAAUGCGUAGAUAUGCGGAGGAACACCGAUGGCGAAGGCAAUCCCCUGGGCCUGUACUGACGCUCAUGCACG